rnacentral:rRNA from 1 species
AUACGGGGGGUGCAAGCGUUAAUCGGAAUUACUGUGCGUAAAGCGCGCGUAGGCGGUUUACUCAGUCGGAUGUGAAAGCCCAGGGCUCAACCUUGGAACUGCAUACGAUACUGGCAAACUAGAGUGUGAGAGAGGAUAGUGGAAUUUCCGGUGUAGCGGUGAAAUGCGUAGAUAUCGGAAGGAAAAUCAGUGGCGAAGGCGACUGUCUGGCUCAACACUGACGCUGAGGUGCGAAAGCGUGGGUAGCAAACGGGAUUAGAAACCCUAGUAGUCC